CCCCGCGGCGCGCGCCGCGCGGCGUGUUGCUCACCGCCCGCCGGGACCCGCGAGCCCGGCGCCUCAGCCCGCGAGGCGCGCUCGUCAGAGACGCGCAGCCCGCAACUCGUUGCGGUGGGUGUCCCAGCGUGUAGUGGCGGCGGCCGAGUGGCUGACUGCCGCCUCACCCCGCCGGGCUCCCCUGAGCGCCUCGGCCUCCUGGCGCCGCGCCGCGGGAGCGGGCUCCUGAGAAGCGUGGCGAGGUCCCGGGCCUGCGGCCGUUCGGGGGCGAGAGCGGAGGUGGCAGUCCCGUGAGCCGCAGGAAUGGGCGCGGGGGCGCCGACCCCAAGCGACGCGGAGAACUGGGGUCUCUUUCAGGAUUAGGAAUCUAUGCCACACUCACCUGCUCAACUGAGAAAGCAUUACCAUGACCUGGGAAACAGGGCCACCUUCCCACUCUGCUGAGAUUGCUGGGCUGGAUCCGAGCAGUUUCUGUUUGUGGACACACCAACUCUAGUCCAGUCCUUCUCAAACCUGGGUGUGCACCGUGGUCACAUGAGGACUCCUGAAAGCGCAGAUUGCUGGGCCCUACCCAGUAGGAAGAGCAGGGUUCAAGAAUUUGUGUUUCCGGUAAACUCCCACGUUGAGCUGCUGCUGGACCAGACCCUUGGAGAUACUGCUCUAGUUCAUGCUGCCGCACCAGAUGCUGAAAGACUUGACACACCAGAUGCUGAAAGACUUGAUGAAUCUCUGAACGUGUAGGAUGUCUAAGGCCCUCCUCUGCCUCACCUGGCUGGGUUCAGGAGCUCGUGUCUGAGCAGUUGUGUUUAUGGGAACGUUGGGGAAGUGGCAUGUGCAUUGCUGCCUUCUGAUCUUGUCCACAGCAGGAUAACAUCGCUGAGGGGAGGACAGACAUGCCAGUCAGCAGACUUCUACAGGCUUAGGAGAUCAUCUGGAGGUGGCAAUGCCUUCUUCUUUUGAGAUGGUUAAAUGAUGAGCAGAAAGGACUGUAAGCAUUGGAAUAGAAGAAGUACUGACCUGAUUGGAUGGGGCGCUGCGCACUCGGGGUCUCCACCCAGGUUUUAGCAGAGUGGCUAAAGGCUAUUUAGUAUUGUCCUCAUUGCAACGCUGGGGUUCUGAGAAGCUGUUAGGAAGUUUGAAUUAAAUAACUAUGGUGGUGGUAUAGUGAGUGUAUAUGACAUGAACUGUCACACGCAAGCCAUAUAAAAGUUGUGGUGGCACAUUUUACUUCGAGAGAAAUUCAAUUUUUUUGGUGAAAUAUUCCAUUUAAAACUUUCUUCAACAAAAUUAUCUCAUUUUAACAAUUUAUUGAGUAUCUCCUAUGCUUGGCAUUAGGAGGAUAAGACAGGGUUCCUGCCCUUCAGGUGCUCCCAGCCUGGUGAAGGGGGCUGAUGCCCAGGUUCCAUUGUGACAGCAGCUACAUUUCUAUUUCAGCUUCGAUAAAGCAUCAUACAGUUGAUGAAGGUGAUUAAGAGGAGGGUGGGACUGCCCUUCUAGGACACCUGGAGCGCCUCUGAUGAUAAAAUAGGUCCUUGAACGCUGCUAUUUUUAUUUCGCCAAACUCAAGUCGGCCAGGAUCCUGAUCCUUCCUGUGGAUGAGGAUUCAAAGGGGAGCGUGUGAAAGGAGCUGUGAUGGGAAAGCCUACACACAGGCCACACGUGGUCUGUGGCGGAAGCAUCCUUGCUGUGAGGAAGGCUCUGCUCAAGUGUGGGGGGAGGAGGCAGCGCCCCAUGAACAGUGAAUACAGGGACAAGCACAAUGUCCCCAGAGCAGGAAGGAGGAUUUGGCAAUGCCUGUGGAGAGAGGACCAAGAGCCACGCAGCUUGCAGGAAUCUUAGCUCCCCAGCCAGGGAUUGAACCUGGGCCCUCUGUGCAGUCAAAGCCCAGAAUCCUAAUCUCUGGCCUGCCAGGGAAUUCCCGAGAGAGGGCAUUUUUUAGAAUGACAGUGCCCCUUGCAAAAUUGAUGACAAUUAAAAAGAAGGACAAUAACAAGUGUAGGCGAGGAUGUGGAGAAAAUGUGACCCUUGUCCGUUUCUGAUGGAAAUGUAAAAUGGUGCAGCUGCUGUAGAAAACAGGCAGUUCCUUAAAAUGUUAUAAGUAGAGUUACUAUAAACCAUAUACCCAGCAAUUCCACUCCUAGGUAUAUGCCUAAGAGAAUUGAAAAUAUACAUUCACACAAAAACUCGUAUAUAAACAUUCAUAGCCCCAAAGUAAAAACAACCCAAAUGUCCAUUAACAAUGGCUAGACAAAAUGUGGUCUGUCCAUACAGUGGAAUGUUACUUGGCCAUUAAAAGGAAUGACGGACUUCUGUGGUGGCACAGUGGUUAAGACUCCACGCUCCCAAUGCAGGGCGCCUGGGUUUGAUCCCCAGUCAGGGAACUAGAUCCCACACGCAUGCCACAGCUAAGAGUUCGCAUGGUACAACUAAGGAGCCAGGGAGCCGCAACUAAGACCCAGUGCAACCAAAUAAAUAAGUAUUUUAAAAAAUAAAAGGAAUGACAUUCUGAUACCUGCUUCAACAUGGAUGAACCUUGAAAUCCUUGUGUUAAGUGAGAUAUGCCAGACACAAAA